AAUUUAAGUUUGUCUUUAAUAGGCACAAAAGAAAAAAACAACACAACCAGAACUUCCCUCAAGAGGGUCUGCCAGCUAGUCGGCCGCGAAUGCGGCCGCGAAUUCGGAAUGAUUUUUGCACUGCUCAUCAAAUAUAAACCAAGGGUUCUCCGUUCUUUGUUCAAGGUGGCGGCUAGGAGUAAUUGGUACAGUGGGGGGGGGGGGGGGCUCAGCACUCAGAAGGGGAAAUUAAAGGCUCUGUGUAAGGCUAACUUCCGUGGAAGCGAAUGUCAAAGACGUUUCAUUAAUCAGGAACGAAAGUCAGCGGAUCGAAGAAGAUCAGAUACCGUGGUAGUUUUGUCCAUAAAAUAAGCCGAAUAGGGAUCGGGUGAUGUUAUGAUUUGACUCGCUCGGCACCCCCGAGAAAUCAAAAUAGAUAGGCUCCAGGGGGUGUAUGGUUGCAAGGCUGAAACUUAAAGAAAUUGACGGAAGGGCCCCACCCGGGGUGGAGCGUGCGGCCUAAUUUGACUCAACCCGGGGAAACUCACCAGGUCCAGACACAAUGAGGAUUGACAGAUUGAGAGCUCUUUCUUGAUUUUGUGGGUGGUGGGGCAUGCCCGUUCUUAGUUGGUGGAGUGAUUUGUCAGAUUAAUUUCGAUAACGAACGAGGCCUUCACUGUUAACUAGCCCGCAUUGCUUUGGCAGUGCGCUGGCUUCUUAGCGGGACUAUU
rnacentral:rRNA from 1 species